CUUGAAGGGAGAUGGAACAUGGUUUAUUAACGUUGAGAAGUCACUGCAGCUGCACUCAGCUAAGUAGUUCUCUCUUAUGCAAGUUUCCUGUGUAUAAUUACACAUUUCAAGUGCCUUAACACAGUCUGUUUUGGGUAUUAACUCAACAAACGUUUCAAAACAUGUUUUUAUACCAUUCAAAGCAUCCAGUUGUAGCAUGGACACUGAAAUGACCAGUUGAGGUUGUGGACGACAUUCAAUAAAUACUUUGCAACCUUCUCCU